rnacentral:rRNA from 15 species
CUUGAGAGUUUGAUCCUGGCUCAGAACGAACGCUGGCGGCAGGCUUAACACAUGCAAGUCGAGCGGGCAUCUUCGGGUGUCAGCGGCGGACGGGUUAGUAACGCGUGGGAACGUGCCUUUUGCUUCGGAAUAGCCCUGGGAAACUGGGGGUAAUACCGGAUGUGCCCUGAGGGGGAAAGAUUUAUCGGCAAGAGAUCGGCCCGCGUCUGAUUAGGUAGUUGGUGUGGUAAUGGCGCACCAAGCCGACGAUCGGUAGCUGGUUUGAGAGGAUGAUCAGCAACACUGGGACUGAGACACGGCCCAGACUCCUAC